rnacentral:rRNA from 2 species
UUAAGCGACUAAGCGUACACGGUGGAUGCCCUGGCAGUCAGAGGCGAUGAAGGACGUGCUAAUCUGCGAAAAGCGUCGGUAAGGUGAUAUGAACCGUUACAGCCGGCGAUGUCCGAAUGGGGAAACCCAGUGUGAUUCGUCACACUAUCGUUAACUGAAUACAUAGGUUAACGAGGCGAACCGGGGGAACUGAAACAUCUAAGUACCCCGAGGAAAAGAAAUCAACCGAGAUUCCCCCAGUAGCGGCGAGCGAACGGGGAGCAGCCCAGAGUCUGAAUCAGCUUGUGUGUUAGUGGAACGGUCUGGAAAGUCCGACGGUACAGGGUGAUAGUCCCGUACACCAAAAUGCACAGGCUGUGAACUCGAAGAGUAGGGCGGGACACGUGGUAUCCUGUCUGAAUAUGGGGGGACCAUCCUCCAAGGCUAAAUACUCCUGACUGACCGAUAGUGAACCAGUACCGUGAGGGAAAGGCGAAAAGAACCCCGGCGAGGGGAGUGAAAAAGAACCUGAAACCGUGUACGUACAAGCAGUGGGAGCACCUUCGGGUGUGACUGCGUACCUUUUGUAUAAUGGGUCAGCGACUUAUAUUCUGUAGCAAGGUUAACCGUAUAGGGGAGCCGCAGGGAAACCGAGUCUUAACUGGGCGUUAAGUUGCAGGGUAUAGACCCGAAACCCGGUGAUCUAGCCAUGGGCAGGUUGAAGGUUGGGUAACACUAACUGGAGGACCGAACCGACUAAUGUUGAAAAAUUAGCGGAUGACUUGUGGCUGGGGGUGAAAGGCCAAUCAAACCGGGAGAUAGCUGGUUCUCCCCGAAAGCUAUUUAGGUAGCGCCUCGUGAACUCAUCUUCGGGGGUAGAGCACUGUUUCGGCUAGGGGGUCAUCCCGACUUACCAACCCGAUGCAAACUACGAAUACCGAAGAAUGUUAUCACGGGAGACACACGGCGGGUGCUAACGUCCGUCGUGAAGAGGGAAACAACCCAGACCGCCAGCUAAGGUCCCAAAGUCAUGGUUAAGUGGGAAACGAUGUGGGAAGGCACAGACAGCCAGGAUGUUGGCUUAGAAGCAGCCAUCAUUUAAAGAAAGCGUAAUAGCUCACUGGUCGAGUCGGCCUGCGCGGAAGAUGUAACGGGGCUAAACCAUGCACCGAAGCUGCGGCAGCGACACUAUGUGUUGUUGGGUAGGGGAGCGUUCUGUAAGCCUGCGAAGGUGUGCUGUGAGGCAUGCUGGAGGUAUCAGAAGUGCGAAUGCUGACAUAAGUAACGAUAAAGCGGGUGAAAAGCCCGCUCGCCGGAAGACCAAGGGUUCCUGUCCAACGUUAAUCGGGGCAGGGUGAGUCGACCCCUAAGGCGAGGCCGAAAGGCGUAGUCGAUGGGAAACAGGUUAAUAUUCCUGUACUUGGUGUUACUGCGAAGGGGGGACGGAGAAGGCUAUGUUAGCCGGGCGACGGUUGUCCCGGUUUAAGCAUGUAGGCUGAUUGUCCAGGCAAAUCCGGAUAAUCAAGGCUGAGGUGUGAUGACGAGGCACUACGGUGCUGAAGUAACAAAUGCCCUGCUUCCAGGAAAAGCCUCUAAGCAUCAGGUAACAUCAAAUCGUACCCCAAACCGACACAGGUGGUCAGGUAGAGAAUACCAAGGCGCUUGAGAGAACUCGGGUGAAGGAACUAGGCAAAAUGGUGCCGUAACUUCGGGAGAAGGCACGCUGGUGUGUAGGUGAAGUCCCUGCGGAUGGAGCUGAGACCAGUCGAAGAUACCAGCUGGCUGCAACUGUUUAUUAAAAACACAGCACUGUGCAAACACGAAAGUGGACGUAUACGGUGUGACGCCUGCCCGGUGCCGGAAGGUUAAUUGAUGGGGUUAUCCGUAAGGAGAAGCUCUUGAUCGAAGCCCCGGUAAACGGCGGCCGUAACUAUAACGGUCCUAAGGUAGCGAAAUUCCUUGUCGGGUAAGUUCCGACCUGCACGAAUGGCGUAAUGAUGGCCAGGCUGUCUCCACCCGAGACUCAGUGAAAUUGAACUCGCUGUGAAGAUGCAGUGUACCCGCGGCAAGACGGAAAGACCCCGUGAACCUUUACUAUAGCUUGACACUGAACAUUGAGCCUUGAUGUGUAGGAUAGGUGGGAGGCUUUGAAGCGUGGACGCCAGUCUGCGUGGAGCCAACCUUGAAAUACCACCCUUUAAUGUUUGAUGUUCUAACGUUGGCCCCUUACCGGGGUUGCGGACAGUGUCUGGUGGGUAGUUUGACUGGGGCGGUCUCCUCCCAAAGCGUAACGGAGGAGCACGAAGGUUAGCUAAUCCUGGUCGGACAUCAGGAGGUUAGUGCAAUGGCAUAAGCUAGCUUGACUGCGAGCGUGACGGCGCGAGCAGGUGCGAAAGCAGGUCAUAGUGAUCCGGUGGUUCUGAAUGGAAGGGCCAUCGCUCAACGGAUAAAAGGUACUCCGGGGAUAACAGGCUGAUACCGCCCAAGAGUUCAUAUCGACGGCGGUGUUUGGCACCUCGAUGUCGGCUCAUCACAUCCUGGGGCUGAAGUAGGUCCCAAGGGUAUGGCUGUUCGCCAUUUAAAGUGGUACGCGAGCUGGGUUUAGAACGUCGUGAGACAGUUCGGUCCCUAUCUGCCGUGGGCGCUGGAGAAUUGAGGGGGGCUGCUCCUAGUACGAGAGGACCGGAGUGGACGCAUCACUGGUGUUCGGGUUGUCAUGCCAAUGGCACUGCCCGGUAGCUAAAUGCGGAAGAGAUAAGUGCUGAAAGCAUCUAAGCACGAAACUUGCCCCGAGAUGAGUUCUCCCUGAGACUUUAAGUCUCCUGAAGGAACGUUAAAGACGAUGACGUUGAUAGGCCGGGUGUGUAAGCGCAGCGAUGCGUUGAGCUAACCGGUACUAAUGAACCGUGAGGCUUAACCUU